rfam:Stegodyphus mimosarum contig42562, whole genome shotgun sequence.
AAUAAGGUUAUGAUAAUUUAUUCCUAAACUUUCAAAAAGAGGAGUAAAUUGGAUAUCUGUUAGU